rnacentral:rRNA from 1 species
UACUCCUACGGGAGGCAGCAGUAGGGAAUCUUCGGCAAUGGACGGAAGUCUGACCGAGCAACGCCGCGUGAGUGAAGAAGGUUUUCGGAUCGUAAAGCUCUGUUGUAAGAGAAGAACGAGUGUGAGAGUGGAAAGUUCACACUGUGACGGUAUCUUACCAGAAAGGGACGGCUAACUACGUGCCAGCAGCCGCGGUAAUACGUAGGUCCCGAGCGUUGUCCGGAUUUAUUGGGCGUAAAGCGAGCGCAGGCGGUUAGAUAAGUCUGAAGUUAAAGGCUGUGGCUUAACCAUAGUACGCUUUGGAAACUGUUUAACUUGAGUGCAAGAGGGGAGAGUGGAAUUCCAUGUGUAGCGGUGAAAUGCGUAGAUAUAUGGAGGAACACCGGUAGCGAAAGCGGCUCUCUGGCUUGUAACUGACGCUGAGGCUCGAAAGCGUGGGGAGCAAACAGGAUUAGAUACCCUGGUAGUCCACGCCGUAAACGAUGAGUGCUAGGUGUUAGACCCUUUCCGGGGUUUAGUGCCGUAGCUAACGCAUUAAGCACUCCGCCUGGGGAGUACGACCGCAAGGUUGAAACUCAAAGGAAUUGACGGA